rnacentral:ncRNA from 1 species
UUUUUGAGUGUGCUGCCGAGCGGCACCACAUCAAUAUCAUUAUUUUUCAGAUUAACAUGCCCGGUUGCCCGUACCAUCUCAUUGACGUUAAGCGGGAUUUCCAGUUUAAGAUCACCGGUCACCUCUCCGCCGAUUUUCAGCUGCUCCAGGGUAUUACCGAUGGAACCCUUCAUCGGGGUUUCAUCAAAAUACCUGCCCAGCGAUUCGCCUUUACCUUCAAUAUCGGACUGAAUAUACAGGCGCUCAACCGUAAAAUCCGGAAUAUCCGCUUUCAGAUUACGGGCGGUAGCCUCGCCCAGUUUUGCUUCCUGUGCACUGAUCCACAGCCCCUGGUUAUGGAAAUUCAGAUCCGCAUCCAUGUUGAUCAGCGCCGGCCAUUCCGGAUCAUAUUUAAAGGUGGCGUCACGCAGCGGCAC